rnacentral:misc_RNA from 1 species
GGUAGUAAAAGUCGUAACAAGGUUUCCGUAGGUGAACCUGCGGAAGGAUCAUUAAUGAAUUAGGGCGUCCUUAGGGAGUCCAACACUCAUCCUUCUACUCUGUGCAUCAUUUGGCAUGAAUAGCAACGCUGAAAGGCUGCGCGACACUUGCCACACUUUACAAACCUGAGUCUAUGAACGUAACAAAACCAUAACAAAAAAAAAACUUUCAACAACGGAUCUCUUGGCUCUC